GAUGAACGCUGGCGGCGUGCCUAAUACAUGCAAGUCGAGCGAAUGGAUUAAGAGCUUGCUCUUAUGAAGUUAGCGGCGGACGGGUGAGUAACACGUGGGUAACCUGCCCAUAAGACUGGGAUAACUCCGGGAAACCGGGGCUAAAACCGGAUAACAUUUUGAACCGCAUGGUUCGAAAUUGAAAGGCGGCUUCGGCUGUCACUUAUGGAUGGACCCGCGUCGCAUUAGCUAGUUGGUGAGGUAACGGCUCACCAAGGCAACGAUGCGUAGCCGACCGUGGAGGGUGAUCGGCCACACUGGGACUGAGACACGGCCCAGACUCCUACGGGAGGCAGCAGUAGGGAAUCUUCCGCAAUGGACGAAAGUCUGACGGAGCAACGCCGCGUGAGUGAUGAAGGCUUUCGGGUCGUAAAACUCUGUUGUUAGGGAAGAACAAGUGCUAGUUGAAUAAGCUGGCACCUUGACGGUACCUAACCAGAAAGCCACGGCUAACUACGUGCCAGCCGCCGCAGUAA
rnacentral:rRNA from 1 species